UACGUAGGGGGCGAGCGUUGUCCGGAAUUAUUGGGCGUAAAGCGCGCGUAGGUGGUUUGUUAAGUUGAAUGUGAAAUCCCCGGGCUCAACCUGGGAACUGCAUGCAAAACUGGCAAGCUAGAGUAUGGUAGAGGGUGGUGGAAUUUCCUGUGUAGCGGUGAAAUGCGUAGAUAUAGGAAGGAACACCAGUGGCGAAGGCGACCACCUGGACUGAUACUGACACUGAGGUGCGAAAGCGUGGGGAGCAAACAGG
rnacentral:rRNA from 1 species